GAUGAACGCUGGCGGCGUGCCUAAUACAUGCAAGUCGAGCGAACAGACGAGGAGCUUGCUCCUCUGACGUUAGCGGCGGACGGGUGAGUAACACGUGGAUAACCUACCUAUAAGACUGGGAUAACUUCGGGAAACCGGAGCUAAUACCGGAUAAUAUAUUGAACCGCAUGGUUCAAUAGUGAAAGACGGUUUUGCUGUCGCUUAUUGAUGGAUCCGCGCCGCAUUAGCUAGUUGGUGAGGUAACGGCUUACCAAGGCGACGAGGGGUAGCCGACCUGAGAGGGUGACCGGCGACCCUGGUCCUGAGGGACGGCCGAGGCUGCUACGCUACGCAGAAGUGGGGAAUCUUGCAGAAUGGGCGCAAGCCGGAUGAAGCAACGCUGCGUGCGGGAAAACUUCUUUCGGGUGGUAAACAAAUUUUGGCAGUGAAGAAGCGGGUGUGACGGUACCUGAAAAAAAAGCCCCGGCUAACUACGUG
rnacentral:rRNA from 1 species